rnacentral:rRNA from 1 species
AUUGAACGCUGGCGGCAGGCCUAACACAUGCAAGUCGAACGAGUGGCGGACGGGUGAGUAAUGUCUGGGAAACUGCCUGAUGGAGGGGGAUAACUACUGGAAACGGUAGCUAAUACCGCAUACCAUCGGAUGUGCCCCGAUGGGAUUAGCUAGUAGGUGGGGUAAAGGCUCACCUAGGCGACGAUCCCUAGCUGGUCGGAGAGGAUGACCAGCCACAUUGGAACUGAGCCACGCUCCAGACGACUACGGGAGGCAGCAGAGGGGAAUAUUGGACAAUGGGCGCAAGCCUGAUGCAGCCAUGCCGCGUGUAUGAAGAAGGCCUUCGGGUUGUAAAGUCCUUUCAGCGGUGAGGCGUUACCCGCAGAAGAAGCACCGGCUAACUCCGUGCCAGCCGCCGCGGUAAUUC